rnacentral:rRNA from 1 species
UAGUCCACGCCCUAAACGAUGGAUACUAGUCGUUGGAUAAACCCUUUAUUCAGUGACGUAGCUAACGCGUUAAGUAUCCCGCCUGGGGAGUACGGUCGCAAGAUUAAAACCCAAAGGAAUUGACGGGGGCCCGCACAAGCGGUGGAGCAUGUGGUUUAAUUCGAUGCUACGCGAAAAACCUUACCCAGACUUGACAUACCGUGCUACCUUGUGAAAGCAAGGGUUUCCUUCGGGAACGCGGAUACAGGUGUUGCAUGGCUGUCGUCAGCUCGUGUCGUGAGAUGUUGGGUUAAGUCCCGCAACGAGCGCAACCCCCGUCGUUAGUUACCAUCAUUUAGUUGGGCACUCUAACGAGACCGCUUGGCGUUAAGCCAGAGGAAGGAGGGGAUGACGUCUAGUCCUCAUGGCCCUUAUGUCUGGGGCUACACACAUGCUACAAUGGGGAAUGACAAAGCGUUGCUAACUCGCGAGAGUAUGCUAAUCGCAAAAAC